UACGGGGGGGGGUAAGCGUUGUUCGGAAUUACUGGGCGUAAAGGGCUCGUAGGCGGCCAACUAAGUCAGACGUGAAAUCCCUCAGCUUAACUGGGGAACUGCGUCUGAUACUGGAUGGCUUGGAUCCGGGAGAGGGAUACGGAAUUCCAGGUGUAGCGGUGAAAUGCGUAGAUAUCUGGAGGAACACCGGUGGCGAAGGCGGCAUCCUGGACCGGUAUUGACGCUGAGGAGCGAAAGCCAGGGGAGCAAACGGG
rnacentral:rRNA from 1 species